CCCACCUCUUGCACACCCCCACAUAGAGCACUCUCUACAAUCCCUUACUCUUUUUAGAGUGUCACCAAAUAUGUCAAUACAUGUAUGUACACAUGCAGAGAUAUACAUUAUGUAAUACUUUGUUCCUUUUAGCCUGCUUUGGACCCUCCUGAAUAUAAAAUCUCUUAUUCUUAUGUACAUUCUUUUGCAGCUUUCCCUCCUUAAUUUGUACCACUUAAGCUGAGCAUCAGGAAGAAGAAACACCAGAGAAACUCAAAGAUCUGAAGGACAUCAACCCUGCUCAAGUCACUCUGGAAGCUGACUAGCCUGAAUGUGCCCAAAGCUUGAGGAAACAUCAGCCCUGCUUCAGCCACUCUGGGUUGGAUGUACAAGGUGAAAGAUAUACUAACCAAAAGGAAAAUGGACUGUUUCACUCUUUAAGACAGCUCUUACACUGUCAUUGCCACCCCUUACUUCUGUCCUAUACAGAGUCCUUUGUUUUGUCUUGACUCUAGGACUGAUAACAAUCAAACACAUAGUUAAUAAUAUCAGAAAACAUACACAUGUACCAGUUCAAUCCUGAAAGGGCAUUGCAGUUGAGAUCCAAGCUCACUAUUUGGAGGAUGGUUUCCUUUUCUUGGUGGAUUCAAAAGCUUAAUUGACAUAGCAUGGAUUAUGCUAUGAACUUGUUUAUUGCUUCCAUGUUUGUUUCCUCUUUACAUUAAAACUAGUGGUUCUGCAAUAGAAGCAGGUUUUUUUUUAAAGAGAAACAACAACUAUGCUAUUACAUUAUAUAAAGCUUUAAGCCAAGAAGAUAAUAAUGCCCUUUGACUUAGAGGAUUAAAUAAUGAGCAUCAAAGGGGGUAAUGCUGUAGUUCCUAAAAGACUCCCAACUUAAUUGUAACACACAAGUCUCUCUCCUAAUCAAGAAGAGCUUAUUUUAAGAAGUCAGCAAAAUUUCCAGAGCACUCAUUGUGCUUUGAGCUCCUUUUUGUUGUAAAGGCCAGGUUUCUCUUUCUUGUAAGACUUAAGCCUGCAGGGUUGGGGUUGUGGCUCAGUGAUAGAGCACUUGCCUAGCACAUGUGAGGCCUGGUGUUCAAUUCUCAGCACCACAUAAAAAUAAAGGUAUUGUGCUCAUCUACAACAUAAAAAAAAGUCUCCAAUCAAGUUUGUUGAUGUUUGAAAAUUUUUGUUUUCUGUGUAAAAAAAAAAAUGUGAAACCUCUGUUCAACCUAUGAAUAUGGAACAAAAUUAUGUUAUAUUAAAUAUUUGCUGUGUUACCACCCACUGAAAUCUUAGAGAAUUUCCAGACCUGGGGUCCAGAGCUUGUUUGGUGUUAGCCCCUCUGGAUUGCUGCAGCUUAAAUAAAUCUGCUUCCUCCAAAUUCCUCAGGUGUCCAGACUCACCUUUCCUACAUCAAUGCCUGCUUGAAAUGAUAGAUGUCCUAAUUCUUGAAGGGCCUGAAGAGACAUGAAGGAGUUGAACACCUGAUUGUCAAAAAGUGGUGAAUGUGGACCCAUUUCUCAGGGCAAUCAUAAAAUACCAAUGAAUUUGGAGACAGCACUCUUUCCUUCAUUGUUCUCUGCUGGGAGUGAACCACUGUUUGGAG
rnacentral:lncRNA from 1 species